CUUUGCCCCCAGCAAACUCCAAUGAUUAAACUCAUUGCUAAAAGGGCUAAAAUCGUGAAUCCAUAAAAUCUCCUGUUUUUUAACUGAAAAUAAUAAUAAUUUAUUUAAAAAAGUUCUUUAAAAAAAAGGGAACAGAGAGCGCGAGAGAGAAAGCGUACGGCAAUGGCGAGACUACAAUUAGAUUUGUUUUUUUCUUGGAAUUGUUUCUUUUUUGCAGUUCUUUUAUUCGUAUAAUACAUUGCGAAGUUUUUAUUUUCUCUUAAUUAGUUUAGAUCUGUUAGAUUUGUAUUUUCUUUCUGUCGAUUCUUUAUUUUUUUUAUGAGAGCAUGGAAAAUUUUUAGCGUUAUUAUUGAAAAAAAAAAAGGGGUAAAGACACUGGAGGCAGCGGUUCAUCGAUCUCUUCCUGAGAAUUUUGUUGUGAGAAUAACACAAAUACAUGAAUCGAUCGAUAAACCUCUGCAUCCAGCGCCUUAACUCUCUUUUAUUUUAUUUUUUUGAACUUUUUAAAAGUAUUUUUUUCCAUGAAGUUUUAUGUUAGUUAUUAACAAAAUCUGUUUUUGGUUGCAGAAAUUCUUUUUUUUUAAAACUAUAGAUCUUGAUAUAAUGAGUAAAUUUUAUUUUCCAUUACUUAAUUUUUAUUUUCCAUUACUUCUGUAUAUAUUACCUUUUAGAGUGUUCUUUUUCUUUGUUUUUUUUUUUAAAGAUUUUACUAAGACUGACUAUUAAUGGCGUAAUGUUUGGUGGCUGCAGUGAAGCGGAAGGGGCUACGUUAUCGUUUCCCAGUUGUCGACCCUACCUGGUUACUGAUUAUUUUUCAAAUAAAAGUUGCAAAUAUUUAAUCACUAUUUUUCCCCUCAAAUUUAUGCUAAAUUCAUUAUGCGUUGAUUUUUUUUAAUUGAAUAGUGGAUGAAUAAAUAUAGCCAAACUUGGUAUGAGAUUGAAAUCCAUUGGCUGCCUUUUGAUUUCCUCAUUAAUCGGUGAUUUAGUUCCAAAACUAAUUUUAUUGCCUAUUAACUUUUUAUUUUUCUUACUCAUUCGGAAAUCGGUAUUGUAGGUAAAUUCUCUAGCAAAUGUGAAAACCCGUCUUGGAUUUAUGAAUUCGACGAUCCGAGUUCGGGCAACAUAAAUUUUAAAUUGGGUUGGGGACGUUCUUAGUGAUUGUAUGGUAGGGAAAUUUGUCUAAUAAUGUUCUUGAUCUUGUGUUAGUUUUUGUAUAUAUAUUUUUUACAUUUGAAACACUUAUAACCAAAUUAUUUUUGUUGGUUAGUUACCAGAUUCAGAGUUACAUAUUAUUUUUUAUUUUCUUCUUGGAUUUGUGUAAGUAUCCAUAAUUGCUUUUGAGCUUGGUAUUUAUUGUUAAGGUUCUUUAGUAAGAAAGGGAUCGAUGGGGUUUCGCCUGGAUGUUUUUCCAUUUAUGGUAUAUUUAAUUGAAUGUGGAUUGUUUCGUUUGAUUGUUCAUUUUAGUUGCAUUCAUCAUGGUUUUACAGAUUAGCAAUGUUUAGAUCAUGAGCUGGUGUGCGCUGUUUUGGUAGUUCAUAAUGUUGUAAAAAUUCUGAUGAUAACUGAAAGUUUCGAUGACAUGAGAUUCUCCCGGUGGUCCAAACUCCAAACGCCGUAGUGGAACUUUACCGGAGAGUAAUAGGCAAUUAAUUUGCAGCCAUUUGUGUCAUUUUCCCUGAGCAUGAUGAAGUCAAAACCAAAAAAAGUUUGUUUCUUUGUAGAAAAUGUUAUCCGAUGAAAUGAAGUUACUAAGUGGGGGGACACAACUUCGUCAUUGCGGCGUGAAAGUGAGGGAAAACUACUGGUACAGCUAGCAAGUUGUAAAAGAAUCUGCUGUUUUCAUGUGAACAAAUGGAAUCUGGUAUCAAAAUCCUAUCUAUCAAGCCUAUAAUGGAAAUCAAAUCAAGUUAAAUUCCUUCCUUGGGCUUCUAGUUUUACCAAGUACCAACCAAAAAGGGUGGGUCUUGUUACUCGGAUUGUCAUGUGUUAGAUAUGGGCAUACGGCCGAGGUAAUUAUUACUCUUUUUUUUUUUUGGAGGGUUCUUAAGGCUUAUAUCUUCACACUGACAUAUUAGAAAAACGAAGUCUGAGUAACGUAAGUUAUGGGAGCGUGGGUAUGAGCUCCAAAAGAAAAGGAAAGAAUUCCAGAGGGAACAUAUGCAAGGUGAGUAUAUUCUUUCAUUGUUGUCUUAUCUUAUUCAUUGUUAGGUUGUAAUUUUUUUGCACCUGUUGUACUUGAUAUUCUAACGUCAUUCCAAUAGGAAAAAGAAAGGGAAUCCCUUUUCAUUUUGUCACUGAGAUUUGAUAUGUGCUUUGUGAUUUAUUCAUGGUUAGUUUAGGUGAAAAAAAACUUUUAAAAAGUGUUUUUAAAAAAUUAAUUAACGAUUAUCAUUGUAAUACAAAAAUGUUUUUGUGAAGAUGAAAUGAUUAUUUCAUAGAAAAUUAAAGGGAAUUAAAAAAUUAAUUUUAUUAAAAAGUAUUUUUUUUAAAAGUUAAAAAAAGUUAAAAAUUUUAACUUUUUGGCUGAGUUUAAAUCUUGGUUCAGGUUGGUUCAAAAAUCUUGGUUCAGGUUGGUUCAAAAAGUUACUUGUUAACUAUUAUUAUUAUUAUUAUUAUUAUUAUUAUUAUUAUUAUUAUAGAAAGCAUAAUUUGGGUUGAAAAGAAUGGUAAACAAAACAUUAGUAAAAUGUUGAAGUGUGCGGAUAUGGAUAUGGAUAUGGACAUUGAGUUUCAAAACUUAAAUUUAUUGGUCAAUUUUUAAGGUCGAUUAUAUAAAUAAAUUAUAUUAAGCUUAUAUAACAUGGCAAAAGGGCUCUCACUCGGCUCUUUUUUCUAGGUGCCAUUUGUUGAAGUUCUGAGUUUGGCUAUUUUUUAUCACCAAGGCCUAAUUUUAGGGCGCAAUUAUAUAGUCACCAUGUAAAAGAAAAUUUGCAGAAAUAUGUAAAAAUAUAAAGUGACUUUGUUUUUCUAGAAAUUACUGCUUAAGUAAUAUGUGCAUAUAAAAAUAAAAAUUAUUUGAUACAAAUAUGUUACAUGUUUUCAGGUGUAAUAAUAAAUUAUUUUUGAUUUUUACAUUUACAAAUUUAGAUACGAGAAACCGAACCACUAGAAUUUAGUUUUUUUUUUACACAAUAGUGAAGGUAGAAAGUGAGACAACACAGCUUAAAUUUGUAUAAAAUAGAUAUUUAAAAAGAAUUUUAACUACCUUUCAAAACACACUAAAAUUUAGUGUUAAUAUACAACCAUUUGUAGUUUUAAAUUUUAUUCGUGGAAUUAAAAGUCUUUACCAUUAUCAAAACAACAAAUUUUACUGUUUUUAAGAUUAUUUGGGUUUGGUUUGAUUUCAUCAUUAUCCGUUUUGAGUUAUUGAAUAAAUUGGUUUUGUAUAUAUAAAAUUUAGUUCAAAUAUUUCACGAGUUUAAUCUGAUUUUUUUUAACAUUUAUGUUCGUUAUUUUUAAUUACUGUUAGAAAGGGUUUCGAUUUCAAUUACUGUUGGAUUUUAAGCUUUAAAUUACAAAAUUUAAUUAUAUGAGUUGCACUAGGUUUAAUAGAGAUGAGAAUAAUGAAAGGGUAGCAGGAAUUUCAAUAUGGGUAAUGAUGGCUACGUUGUCGUGACUUGAUAGGGACCCACCUCGCUAUGAAAAUGACUGCCUUGGCAUUAGUUUUGUAACUAUAUAUCAUCUAAUAGCUUCAUUUUUAAUAAUAAAAAAUUGCUUUUGUUUUAUUCAAAAAUUCUUUUAUAACCAUUGAGAUUCGAUAUGGCUAGCCAAAAAAAGAAAAGCAUGGUCCUACCCACUUUUACCUUCACCCCUGCUGCCAUUAACCUAUUGAAAUUAAAAUCAUUAUACCAUUAAUAUUGAAGUAAGGUAGUCAUCACCCUUCUUAUGGAUGUAUUGAUUUUUUUAUUAGUAAUAAUACAUAUUGAUAUUGGUAUGUAUUAAUAUAUCACUUUAGGUCAAUUAUUUUUACAAAUUGAUUUUAUUUUUAAAAAAUUGAUAUAUGUAUAUAAAAAUAUGGAGUAUGUCUCGCAUUUCAGACAAAAUAGGAAGUGGCAUCUCGAUGAGAUAAAACUUGAUGUCACGACAAGCAGCCAACGUCACAACGAGAAGAAAGUCUUUAUCCCAAUGACACUUUCUCGUCACGACGACAUGAAUCCACGUCAUGAUAUAGCGACGUGUUCUUCAAGUUUUUGAGGUUUCUUCUUUCAGUUAAACUCUGUUUUGGUUUCCUACUUAAACUCUGAUUAACCUAAGAAUAUUCUAAACAUAAAAGCUAUGAAUUCCAAUCUAUAAACAAACCUUAGGUACCCUAGGUUUAAAGAACAGAAAAUAACACAAUUGAGAGAGAAUUCUGUGAUUCAGUUUGAAAGGUUUUCUUUCGGGUUUUUGGGGUUUCAGAUUUUCUUUGUUUUGACUCUUUCCAUCUUGUAGUUUUCUCUUAUUAGUGAAAUCUCCUUUUUCCUGUGGUUUUAUAUUCUCUUCAGAGAAGUUUUUCCACGUAAAAUAUUGUGUGUUUGAUCUUUUCAAUUUAUUUGUUAUAAUUCUUGUUCGUUGCUUACACGUGUUUAUCCCCAACAAAUUAGUAUCAAAGCUUGGUUCGAUUUUCGCAUUCAACCCAUCCAAAGAUGGAAGCGACAAGAUUCGACAUUGGGAAGUUCGAUAGAAUCGCAAAUUUUUGUUUGUGGCAAGUUCGUAUGACAACAAUACUAGUCCAGAACGAUCUAAAAAAAGCCGUUACAAGGAAGAAACCCACGGAUGCAGACAAGUUAAAUGCAGAGCUUGAUGAAAAAUCUCUAUAUACAAUUCAACUAUGCCUUACCAAUAAUGUGUUACAGGAGGUAUUGUUAGAGAAAAUAGCAUCCACACUAUGGAGAAAACUGAAAGCCUUAUACAUGACGAAAUCUCUGGCCAACAAGUUUGUGUUAAAACAUCUCUACACGUUCAUGAUGGUCGAAGCUUUCAAGGAUACCCUGAUUAAUGGAAGAGACAAUCUCUCGUUCGAGGGCAUGAAGGGAAAUCUACUAACCAACAAACUCGAUAACGUGUUAGGCCCAAAUAAAAAGUCAGACAGACAAGCCUCAAUUCUAGUUGCAAGGGGUAGAAAAUAAUCCAGCAAGUUAAACCAAAGUAGGUCUAGGGCAAGAUUAAAAUUGAGGAACCGCGACAAACAAUGUGGCUAUUACAAGAAGAUGAGGCACAUUAAAGAAAAAUGUUACAUACUUCAGAAUAAAAACAAGAGAGAUGUAACAACCCGUUUUUAGUAGUGUCAGAAACAGUGAUUUUGGGACCACAAAUCCAAUGUGUGAGCUCGUAAAUAUUAUUUAGUUGAUAUUUACGAAGUUAUUAAGUGUCGUAUUAAGAUUAGUCCGGUAAUUUUAACGUAUGGUUAGUUAAAUAAGGAAAUA